rnacentral:lncRNA from 1 species
CUUAACCAAAUUAACUUAGCAGACAGAACUACCAUCUCUAACUUCUAUCUGCAUUUCCAAUUUCCAGGCUAUUUUUCCUUGACUAACAUGUAUGACCAAAAUUUACCUUAGAGCUAAGCAACCAAGUUGCUUGAAGUAUCUAAGCAUUGCUAAGCAUAUGAUAGUUACUAAUUAGUGAACAAGUGGCAAAGAUGUCCUCUAAACAAGGUAGGAUCAUGCAUAAGAGAAGGUUUCAAUCA